GGGGGGAGCAAGCGUUGUUCGGAAUUACUGGGGCGUAAAGGGGCGUGUAGGCGGCUAGAUAAGUGAGAUGUGAAAUGUCUCGGGCUCACCCGAGGGACGUGCAUCUCAUACUGUUUGGCUUGAGUACGGGAGAGGAUGGGGGAAUUCCUGGUGUAGCGGUGAAAUGCGUAGAUAUCAGGAGGAACACCAGUGGCGAAGGCGCCCAUCUGGCCCGAUACUGACGCUGAGGCGCGAAAGCUAGGGGAGCGAACGGGAUUAGAUACCCCGGUAGUCCUAGCCGUAAACGGUGAUCACUAGGUGUUGGAGGCAUUGACCCCUCCAGUGCCGCAGCUAACGCAUUAAGUGAUCCGCCUGGGGAGUACGGCCGCAAAGGCUG
rnacentral:rRNA from 1 species